rnacentral:rRNA from 1 species
GACGAACGCUGGCGGCGUGCCUAACACAUGCAAGUUGAGCGACGAACCAGGGCUUGCCCUGGGGCAAAGCAGCGAACGGGUGAGUAACACGUGGGUAACCUACCCCGAUAACCGGGACAACCCGCGGCAACUCGGGCUAAUACCGGAUGUGCUCACUGGACUUCGGUUCAGUGCGUAAAGGAAGCUUCGGCCUCCGUAUCGGGAGGGGCCCGCGGCCCAUUAGUUUGCUGGUGAGGUAACGGCUCACCAAGCCCGCGAUGGGUAGCUGGUCUGAGAGGACGAUCAGCCACACUGGGACUGAGACACGGCCCAGACUCCUACGGGAGGCAGCAGUGGGGAAUCUUGCGCAAUGCGCGAAAGCGUGACGCAGCAACGCCGCGUGGGGGAAGAAGGCCUUCGGGUUGUAAACCCCUUUCAGGAGGGACGAAGGUUCGGCGGUGAAUAGCCGUCCGGACUGACGGUACCUCCACAAGAAGCCCCGGCUAACUACGUG